GGGGGGCCUUAUACAUGCAAGUCGAGCGGAUUUCACGGAAGCUUGCUCCGUGAAAAUCAGCCGGCGGACGGGUGAGUAACACGUGGGCAACCUGCCUGUAAGACUGGGAUAACUUCGGGAAACCGGAGCUAAUACCGGAUAACUCUUCGGACCCCAUGGUCUGAAGAUAAAAGAUGGCUCUGCUAUCACUUACAGAUGGGCCCGCGGCGCAUUAGCUAGUUGGUGAGGUAACGGCUCACCAAGGCGACGAUGCGUAGCCGACCUGAGAGGGUGAUCGGCCACACUGGGACUGAGACACGGCCCAGACUCCUACGGGAGGCAGCAGUAGGGAAUCUUCCGCAAUGGACGAAAGUCUGACGGAGCAACGCCGCGUGAGCGAUGAAGGCCUUCGGGUCGUAAAGCUCUGUUGUUAGGGAAGAACAAGUAUCAGUUAACUGCUGGUACCUUGACGGUACCUAACGAGAAAGCCACGGCUAACUACGUGCCAGCAGCCGCGGUAAUACGUAGGUGGCAAGCGUUGUCCGGAUUUAUUGGGCGUAAAGCGCGCGCAGGCGGUUCUUUAAGUCUGAUGUGAAAGCCCACGGCUCAACCGUGGAGGGUCAUUGGAAACUGGGGAACUUGAGUGCAGAAGAGGAUAGCGGAAUUUCCACGUGUAGCGGUGAAAUGCGUAGAGAUGUGGGAGGGAACACCAGUGGCGAAGGCGGCUCUCUGGUCCGUAACUGACGCUGAGGCGCGAAAGCGUGGGGAGCAAACAGGG
rnacentral:rRNA from 1 species